UACAGAGGGUGCAAGCGUUAAUCGGAAUUACUGGGCGUAAAGCGUGUGUAGACGGUUAUUUAAGUCAGGUGUGAAAGCCCAGGGCUCAACCUUGGAAUUGCAUUUGAGACUGAAUAGCUAGGGUGCGGAAGAGGGAAGCGGAAUUUCCGGUGUAGAGGUGAAAUUCGUAGAUAUUCGGAAGAACACCAGUGGCGAAGGCGGCUCACUGGACGAUUGUUGACGCUGAGGUGCGAAAGCGUGGGGAGCAAACAGG
rnacentral:rRNA from 1 species